rnacentral:rRNA from 1 species
UACGGAGGGGGCUAGCGUUGUUCGGAAUUACUGGGCGUAAAGCGCACGUAGGCGGCUUUGUAAGUUAGAGGUGAAAGCCCGGGGCUCAACUCCGGAAUUGCCUUUAAGACUGCAUCGCUAGAACGUCGGAGAGGUAAGUGGAAUUCCGAGUGUAGAGGUGAAAUUCGUAGAUAUUCGGAAGAAACACCAGUGGCGGAAGGCGACUUACUGGACGACCGUUGA